CCAGGAUAUUGCUGCAAAGGUAUGCUGGGGAGGGUGGAUUCUGGCUCCCACACUUUAGAGAGCUCUGCAAGGUGAGGUCAGUCCCCGCCUGCCAAUGAAGCGACUCCUAAUUACUCAGGAAUGCUCAGCCUGGGCUGGCUGGCACACAGGGCAAUAAAUCUUAGUGGAAAGACCAGACACCUGGUUUUCAGAUCAGGAUGAAUUUUCUAGGUCUAGUUAAAUUAAUUGUCUUGUUUCUCAAUCUUCACACAAUCUUUGGAGAACAAGUACAACCUAAAUUAUGAGACCAGGCAUUGAUUUGUGCUUAGCUUUCCUCAGUGGACUGGAGGCGACUGGGGGUUUACAAAGCAAAGCAAGCUAUUGUUAAUGAGAAUACAAUGUAUAUGUGCAAUCACUCCCAUUAUUUACAAUGAUAUCUGAUGGAGCUUACUGUACGUGAUUCUUACAUCCUCCCAUGUGGUGGGUAAACGAUAAAUAGAAGAGAGAAGCUGCAGGGCACAGAGCUGCUCCACUCUCAUCAAGAAACACCUUCAGUCGAGGAGACAGAGAACACCAGAUAAUGUUGGCUUGUUUGCAGGGGUGAUAUUUUUCCCAGUUACUGUCGCUUUCUCUCUGUAGACUUCCUCUUGUCUUAUUGACCAGAAUUAGGACACACGGCCAGUCCUAGCUGCGAAGAAAGCUUGGAAAUUGGAGGGUAAGAUUAUUAUAAGCACUUGGACCAGUCAUGAUCCAUGACCAGGAACUGGGCCCACUGCCACCCACACAAAGUCAUGGUUCCAUCAGCAAGAGAGAAGGGGGAAAUUAGGUUAAAGGCAUAUGGACUCAACAUGUCACCGGAAGGAAAACACCAGCUGGUCUUACAGCUCUUGAACGGGCAGCUCACCCAGAGACACCACGCUGCAGGGCUUCUCUGCACCAACGUUCUUUCAGGGCCUGUGGAGAAAAUAUGGACGUUAGCAGUCAGAAAACAUGCUCGGGACACAGCAUUCGUGGCCGAGCUUCCCACAGCAGUGUGUAUGAACACCGCAGCUCCUCAUGGAACAAUUCUGUCCUCACCAAGCAACAUGAGACAACAAGGAAACACUUUCUGCCCCAGAAAUGUCCUUCCAUCACUUCCAGUUAAAAAUCACAUUUCUCCAAGAUUCUACCCACUCCCAUACACCUCAGCCUGGCUAAGGAAAUGAUUGGAAACUUAAAUCUGAGAGAAAAAGCUGACAUUUUACGAUAACGGGGAAAAGUUAUCCUCAAAUACUGCCUGUGGUAUUAAAAAUGGAAUUCAGAUAAGCUUCUUU
rnacentral:lncRNA from 1 species